rnacentral:rRNA from 1 species
AUUGAACGCUGGCGGCAGGCCUAACACAUGCAAGUCGAACGAGUGGCGGACGGGUGAGUAAUGUCUGGGAAACUGCCUGAUGGAGGGGGAUAACUACUGGAAACGGUAGCUACUACCGCAUACCAUCAGAUGUGCCCAGCUGGGAUUAGCUUGGUGGUGGGGUAACGGCUCACCCAGGCGACGAUCCCUAGCUGGUCUGAGAGGAUGACCGGCAAACAUGGAACGAAGACACGGCCCAGACUCAUAGGGGAGGCAGGAGUGGGAAAUAUUGGACAAGGGGCGCAAGCCUGAUGCAGCCAGGCCGCGUGGAUGAAGAAGGCCUUCGGGUUGUAAAGUACUUUCAGCGGGGAGGCGUUACCCGCAGAAGAAGCACCGGCUAACUCCGUGCCAGCAGCCGCGGUAAUG